CCCUCACAGGUGACCAUCAUCACUCCCCAAUCAGUCAUCAAUCAGUCCCCAAUCAGAAGACACCUGUUCCUUUUCCCUCAACCUAUCACAGCCCCUUUCCCUUGGUUUAAAAACCCAGUCAGUUGUUUUCUCCCGAGAUCAAUCUUUGUGUUCAUUCCCUCAAUCUCUCUGUGUUCAAGCUCUCUCUCUGUCCCUAGCUCUACAUCUCUGUGUUGAUCUCUUUUGUUUUGAAACUACAUGUCACUUUCUCCAUCCCACCUGUCUCGUAUCCAUCCCCCCUAGACUGCUGGGCCAAAGGGAUUCGUAACACCUCCCCUCAGCAGCCUCAUGUGUUUAAUACUGAGCUGGAGGAGAUUCCAAGGCUGUGAUGCUUCGAGUUUCCACUGCCAUCUACUGGGUCAAUGUGGCAACUGCACACAGUUGUCUAUUUUCCCUCGUAACAUGUGCUGCUGAUGAGCUGGUUGCUGACAGGCGGGACCUGGGGCUGGCUGAGGGUCAAUCUCAUCCUCUUCUUCCAACUCACUGUCAGACUCCGAAUUGACAGAGACAUGAUCCUCAUAUUCGGAAAGUGGAAGACGCUCCUUCCACAUUAGCUUCUCUCUCUGCAGAAAUUAUUUCUAAGGUCCUCUCUGAGCAGAGAUUAUUUUUUGCCGUACUGUUCGAUUGUGGUAAGAAGCCACACAUGCAAAGCUAUUUAUUUGUUUGUGUCCCUUCCUUAAUUAACACCUGGCUGGGAUAGAGUGUGGGAAAAUACUGACUUUUUUUUACAAUGUAUCGAAAUAACAUUGUGCAGGUUCCUGCAAGACGUUGUGUAGUUUCACUACAAAGGGUAAAGAGUGGGAGACAGGCAGGGAGACAGACAGACAGACAGGCAGGGAGACAGACAGACAGACAGGGAGACAGACAGACAGGCAGGGAGACAGACAGGCAGGGAGACAGACAGGCAGGGAGACACAGACAGGCAGGGAGACACAGACAGGCAGGGAGACACAGACAGGCAGGGAGACACAGACAGGCAGGGAGACACAGACAGGCAGGGAGACACAGACAGGCAGGGAGACACAGACAGGCAGGGAGACACAGACAGGCAGGGAGACACAGACAGGCAGGGAGACACAGACAGGCAGGGAGACACAGACAGGCAGGGAGACAGACAGACAGGCAGGCAGGGAGACGGGCAGGGAGACGGGCAGGGAGACGGGCAGGGAGACGGGCAGGGAGACGGGCAGGGAGACGGGCAGGGAGACGGGCAGGGAGACAGACAGACAGGUUCUUGGUGCUAUGAUGAAACAACAGGCCCAGAGAGGAGGAAGACACAGUGAAAGCACACAGAAAACCAUUUUGUAAAAUGUUUACUUGUUUUCACCUACACACACACUUGUCCACACUUGUAUUAGCUUCGGGUCCAGUGGACCUGAACACCACAUAUGUAAUAUAAAUGUGUAGGUGGGUGCACAGUGUGCACUCAAUGCAAAUAUCUUCUUUUACAUGUUCUUUCACAUGUUCUUCCAGCCCAAUUAUCAAUAUCUAAGUAGACCAGACCCAGCUGGUAAUGCAUUAGUGGCUAUGGGAGAACCAACCCCUUAAUAAGCAGACUGAAACGGAUCAUUUUAUGUAAUAUUAAAUGGCCUGAGUGGGACGUCUUCAUUUAUCCACCAUAUUUUAGGGGAGGCUGAUCUAGCUCUCGGUGUCUGUUCAGAUGGAAUGUCUGUCUCUCCUCUGUUUGUGUUAUCGGAGCCAUAUAUCUAGAUCUAGUUAAAUAUAUGACUCUGCCUGUAAUGGACUGAUGCUUCUCCUUCACGAGCAUUUGGUUAACAUGUUAUGUCACUACUGAUUAUCAUUCUAACUACCAUAUUUCACUACUGAUUGUCAUUGCUUUUCAACAGCUUCUACCCCCAAGCCAUAACACUCCUGAACAGGUAAUCAAAUGGCUACACGGAAUUUGCAUUGUGUUGUCCCCCCGUUGUCCCCCCCUCUUUUACACUGCUGCUACUCUCUGUUCAUCAUAUAUGCAUAGUCACUUACACCAUAUCUACAUGUACAUACUACCUCAAUCAGCCUGACUAACCGGUGUCUGUAUAUAGCCUCUCUACUGUAUAUAGCCUCUCUACUGUAUAUAGCCUCUAUUGUAUACAGCCUCUCUACUGUAUAUAGCCUCUCU
rnacentral:lncRNA from 8 species